UACAGAGGGGGGCAAGCGUUUGUUCGGAAUUACUGGGCGUAAAGGGCGCGUAGGCGGCCUUCUAAGUCAGACGUGAAAUCCCCCGGGCUCAACCCGGGAACUGCGUCUGAUACUGGAAGGCUUGAAUCCGGGAGAGGGAUGUGGAAUUCCAGGUGUAGCGGUGAAAUGCGUAGAUAUCUGGAGGAACACCGGUGGCGAAGGCGGCAUCCUGGACCGGUAUUGACGCUGAGGCGCGAAAGCCAGGGGAGCAAACGGG
rnacentral:rRNA from 1 species